UACGUAGGGACCGAGCGUUGUCCGGAUUCAUUGGGCGUAAAGAGCUCGUAGGCGGCUGUUCAAGUCGAACGUGAAAACUCGGAGCUCAACUCCGAGCCUGCGUUCGAUACUGGACGGCUAGAGUCUGGUAGGGGGAUCCGGAAUUCCUGGUGUAGCGGUGAAAUGCGCAGAUAUCGGGAAGAACACCAAUAACGGCGAAGGCAGUUAACUAUUCUGUUACUGACAUUGAAGCACGAAAGCGUGGGGAGCAAAACGG
rnacentral:rRNA from 1 species